GUUGUCAUGAACAUAUAGUAGUAGUUGUGUCGAAUGCAGUAUAUAUCCCGCACGCGGAGAAAAUCCGCUACGUCACUUCCUCUUUCCUUAGCAGCAUCUGAGAAGACUUCUCUUCCACGAUGAGAGCCAAGUGGAGAAAGAAGCGUAUGCGAAGGCUCAAGCGUAAAAGGAGAAAGAUGAGGGCAAGAUCAAAGUAGAUGCCCACAUCCUGCCCUGAUGACUGUACAGACUUGCGUCAGUAUCUCAUCCAGCAUCAACCAUCAUUCAUGGCAAGUCGCACCACUGGGUUCCAGACUAACACCACCAGACUAUCAUAUCAGCUUCUGACUCCAGCUUGAAUGGAGCAGGGCAAGAAGAGAAGAAGAGAAUAAGAGGACGAAGAUUAUGUAAAAGCGUGGACAUUCUCCAGGUUUUGCAUCUUGGUGUUGUGGCGUGUGCAGAUAUUGCACAGGUCCAGCACUGGCCCCUGUUCUGCAAGUGACUUCCCUCACCACAACAGCAUCAGCAACAGCAACAGCAACACGUCUCUGUAGGUACGGGGCCAGAGAAAUGAGAUUGUCAACGGAGGAAGAUGGGCUCUGAAGGAGCAUGGCUUGAUUAUGCUUGUGAAGGACAGUACCAUCAGUCCCAGGUGUUAGAGCAUGGGGGGUGACUCCCCAGGUUCUGCAUAGGCCCCAGUUGCCAAGGAGACACUUUAGCUUGUAGGCCAGGGGCUUGGUGGAUAGAGGGGUACUCCGAUGAUGAUGAUGAUGAUGAUGAUGAAUGUCAGUGCGUGUAGGUUGUGUGACUGGCAGGCACGGCACCCCCCUCUGUUCACUGUUUGGAACUCAGUUGUGUGAUUAUUCUCACUGUAGGGAGUUUGUAUGGUUGCAUCAGGGAAAAAAAAACAUGUACAGAUACCAACUAAAAUAAAUGUUAAAUCUGUG